UCCACAAAGCUCCACAACAGUAGAAGUGGUGUCCAACGGAAGUUAUCCCAUUCUACGAGGUGAUGGACAGCAUACUGGGAUAUCAACCCUGCAUGAGUGGCCAAAUAGUUCAGGACACCCUGGUGUUGGAAAAGCCUGAUAUACAUAUCUCAGAAUCUAGUCAUCUCCGCCACCGGAGUCCUCUUUAAGCCCCACUUCAUUUCCCUGCUCAAAACCUUUUUUGGAGGGGACCACACAUAAUGUGAAGUAUCCUCAUUCCUGAUCACGGAAUCUACACCAACAAGACCCUCAACUUCCACAUUCUUCAGAGAGCUGUCCCAUCACAUUCCUCCACGGACCA